CUACGGGAGGCACCAGUGAGGAAUAUUGCACAAUGGGGGAAACCCUGAUGCAGCAACGCCGCGUGGAGGAUGACGCAUUUCGGUGUGUAAACUCCUUUUAUAUGUCAAGAAAAUGACGGUAGCAUAUGAAUAAGCACCGGCUAACUCCGUGCCAGCAGCCGCGGUAAUACGGAGGGUGCAAGCGUUAUUCGGAAUCACUGGGCGUAAAGGACGCGUAGGCGGGUUUGUAAGUCAGGUGUGAAAUCCUACAGCUUAACUGUAGAACUGCACUUGAAACUACUAACCUAGAGUAUGGGAGGGGGAGAUGGAAUUAGUGGUGUAGGGGUAAAAUCCGUAGAUAUCACUAGGAAUACCUAAAGCGAAGGCGAUCUCCUGGAACAUUACUGACGCUAAGGCGUGAAAGCGUGGGGAACAAACAGGAUUAGAUACCCGAGUAGUC
rnacentral:rRNA from 1 species